rnacentral:rRNA from 1 species
AUGCACGCUGGCGGCCGGCCUAACACAUGCAAGUCGAGCGGAUGAAGGGAGCUUGCUCCUGGAUUCAGCGGCGGACGGGUGAGUAAUGCCUAGGAAUCUGCCUGGUAGUGGGGGAUAACGUCCGGAAACGGGCGCUAAUACCGCAUACGUCCUGAGGGAGAAAGUGGGGGAUCUUCGGACCUCACGCUAUCAGAUGAGCCUAGGUCGGAUUAGCUAGUUGGUGGGGUAAAGGCCUACCAAGGCGACGAUCCGUAACUGGUCUGAGAGGAUGAUCAGUCACACUGGAACUGAGACACGGUCCAGACUCCUACGGGAGGCAGCAGUGGGGAAUAUUGGACAAUGGGCGAAAGCCUGAUCCAGCCAUGCCGCGUGUGUGAAGAAGGUCUUCGGAUUGUAAAGCACUUUAAGUUGGGAGGAAGGGCAGUAAGUUAAUACCUUGCUGUUUUGACGUUACCAACAGAAUAAGCACCGGCUAACUUCGUG